rnacentral:ribozyme from 14 species
AACUUAGAAUGAUUGGUAGAAGAAAACCAGCCGCCAUCUUCUCUUCUUUGUUUUUUUUGUUUUUUUUUACUUUUUCUUUCUCUGUUAGGCUUAGCGUUGCGUAUUUUCACUAAAU